GGCCAUUCCCAUGGCUUCUCCUCGCCCGCUACCCCGAGUAUGUCCCCUCUUCGCUCUCUUCCUCUCUCUUCUCUUUCUCGUUUUCCUCCUCACAUGGGCGGCCGGCUCUUCUCCGCUGGAGUCAUCCCACCUAUAUCGAGUCCUCCACAUCCAAGAACGGGAGCGCUUACCGCCCGCCAUCCAGGUGGCCGCCGCCCGUGGCCUUCUCGCCCGCCCUAUUCCACGUUUCCAGCUUCGAAUUCGAGAUCGUUUCCAAGUGUGCUAGACCGUUGGUUCUUGGAUUACUUUAGGAGAGUUGAAUUACCUGAAUCUUCAAAGGAGGAAAAAAUUGACAAGUGGAAGUAUUGGCGUCAUUGUAUAGAGGAUCAUGGAAACAUGUGGUGGAGUAGCAUGCUUCAUUAUUAGCAACCAUUCAUCAUUAAGUACAAAAGGAUUCCCAGAAAUACUAAUCCAAGGGACAAGUGGUGUUGAACUUUCUGCUGGUCUCCAUUGGUACUUAAAACCAAGGUUCGCAAUACCGUACCGUACCAGUAUUUCGACCUGGGCUCGGUACCGUUACGGUACGGUGUACCGAGCGGUACACCCAGGUGUACAGAGCACUGUAGCACUGCAACGGUGCACUGCAACGGUGCACUGUGCUGCUACAGUCGGACCGGUACCGGGCGGUUCGCGUACCGCUGGCCUGGUACGGGCAGUACGAUUCGGUACGGCAGACACUGCUUAAAACACUGGUGUCUGAUACACAUAUCUUGGGAAAAGACCGGUGGUCUACAGUUGUCAUCUCUACCAAAAGUGGGCUCCCUUCCGCAUGUUCCUUCGGCUGGUAUUUUGGUACAAAGACCUGUUCCGUUGAGUUACUACCAGAAUGCUGUUACAUCCAGUUAUUCGUAUGCAUGGUGGAGUUGGGAAAGAUGGGAGAAGGAAAUUGAUUGGAUGGUUCUCCAAGGGGUCAACUUACCACUUGCUUUCAAUGGGCAAGAAGCCAUUUGGCAGAAAGUUUUUGAGGGUUGGUUAUUUUAAUAUGGCCCGUUCUGGAAACCACCUCAGAUGAAGGCUCUCUUGCAUUCAGUUCCAAUUGGGCGGAUGGUAGUUCUUGAUCUAUUCGCUGAAGUAAAACCAAUAUGGAUUACAUCAAAACAGUUUUAUGGUGUUCCAUACAUCUGGAAAGUUCUCUAUUUCUCAAAAUGUGCAUGCUACACAAUUUUGCUAGAAAUAUUGAGAUGUAUGGUAUUCUCGAGCAAUUGCACUUGGACCUAUUGAAGCUCGUACAAGUGAAAAUUCAACCAUGGUUAGUUGCCCUUUUGUGGUACGUAAAAUAUAAUUUAUUAUGUGCAGCUUAUUUUGUGAUAGAUGGUACCUAGUCCCAGGGUUUUUAAUUUCAAAUAAUACUGUUUGGUACGGGCGAUACGUACCGGUCUAACAGCAUACCGGUACAUGGACCGCUCGCUAUUGGGCGGAACACUCAAUAUCAUCCCGUAUCAGAUGAAACAGGGGCAUAUCGAACGGUAACAAUUGAAAUUUCGAUCGUUAUCGCCCGACACAGUUACCGCUCGACAUAGCACGGUAACGGUUGAUUUCGACCGUUACCUACAUUUUUUUUUCCUUUUGAACCAUUAUUUGGGCUAGUUCCACAUUGUGAAUUUGCUGGUUGUGCCAAAUGUCAUCAAGGUUCAACAGUUUAAAACAUGCCAUUACAGUGGUUAGUGUUGUGCUUCUGACCAGUGAUAUAGGAUUGUUGGAAUUUGUUAUUUUAGUUCACUAGUGAGUUAAAAUUAUUCCUUAAUCUAGGUGUGGUAGCCAUAAUUUAUUUAUAUAGUUUAUUAUAUUAUUUCUUGCAUUUGUAGAAAAUUACUGGGAAAUGUUUGAAUAUAUAAACACCAUUUUAUGACAGUGUUCACAAUUUUAAUUUUGUAAAAUCUGUAGUGAAUCACAUCUCAUGUUUUCACUAUGAAAAUGAUUGGUGAAGCACGAACAAAAUCUGUGCUAUCUAUUAAAGGAACUCUUAUAAACUGGUAGUGUCAAUCUUUUUCUCAAACAUAUCUUUAUUAGUCAAAAAAUAUAUUUUUCGGUACUGAAACCUUUUUGUGAGCAUCAAAGGAUAUGAGUUUGACUACUUGGAUAAAAUAAAGUUUGUUUUUGCAGAUUUAAAAUUUUUAUUUUUAGCUAAAAAAAUGUUCCCUGUCGCUUUCAACAAGUAAAAGUUGUAGCAAAAUUUGUUAUGAUUUCUGUUAUAAGUUAUGGAAUUUAGAAGGAGCUAUAUAUUAAUAUCAUCUCUUAAUCCAUAUAUAUCCUUGAGGAAUAUCAUUGGUAUGUUUUAUGUUUGUCUAAUGUUUCGCUGGUCUAAAGGUUGGCGUUGGAAUGUCUAUGGAAGGCAUUGAGCAAAAUCCUGUUGUUUAUGAUCUGAUGUCUGAAAUGGCAUUUCAUCAUAAACCAGUAGAUGUCAAGGUAAUAUUUACUUUUGUGUACCCGUCUCUUUACCUUAUUGAAUACCACCCACAUGUUUUAAGCUAUAAUUUUCCUUUCUCGCCUCCUAUAUGGUGUAAUGUAUAAAUUGAAGAUAUCCUAUAGGUUAGUUACAUAGAAUAAGUUCAAAUAGUUUUCCCAAACAGGUACAUAUAUAAUUUAAGAUUCUUUUUUCGGCUCAGCAGUUAAGUAGUUCCUGCUUCAAUGGCAGAUUAAAUCUAGUAAUCUAUAAACUAGAAUAGUAGCACUAGAAAAGAAAUUUAAUUAAAAUUUGAAACUUUGUGAAGGACAAUAUCAAGUUAAAUGCAUUUUUGUUGUAUUGGGCAAAUAGGAAUUUAAUUUUGAUUUGUUUAUUGUAGGUCAAAUUGCAAGCUGUAGAUUAAACCUUGCCUUGUGAACAAAAUUUUGGCCAAAUGUGAUCUCAGAUGGAGCAUGUUUCUUUUCUUUGUGCAUGUGUUUUGAUUGUACAAAUGUGAUUUGCGUAUCUGUUUAUUAGUUUUCACUUCUUCACUUUGCCUACUUUCUUUUUGAUCCUUCAUUUAACCUUUGUUAGGUCGGAUACAUUUAAAUAUGUCCAGCUGGCAAGGUACUUGACCUAUUUCUGGGUUUUUAUGCAUCAUUUUUAAUAUUGAGGAGCUUAGGUGGUCAUUUUUUGGUAGAACAAAAUUUAGCAUUUUCUUUCUGUUCUAGGAUAUAUAAUCCGCUUAUUGCCAUUCUUCCAAUUAUGUAGCAAGAUAUAGUUUCUUAGUCAUCAUGCAAACUCAGCAAAAUAGUUUGUUCCAUCAAUUCAGGACAGCUUAGUAAUUGGAUUUCAGAAUCUGAUAAUAGUUAAAAGCAUGCCUAUUUUUACUUGUGGAAAAAGAAUAAUGGAACUAGAAGCUCAGUGAGGAAGAAUCACAAUGUGAAAAAAGAUCCAUGUUUCACUUUUAGCAGAUUUAUUUGGUAGAAAUAAUUAGAUCAUCUAGUUUGAUUGUUGCCUAAAUUUCCUACAACUAACAUUCUCUUUUGUUCUUUGUCAAUGAACAAUUUUAGUUGAGAAGUAAAUUUGAUGGAAUUUUAAUGAUGUAGAAUUCAUUAUAUACAUUGUUAAGUGAUAAGCAUAUGAAAGCUUGAUAUACUGACUGAUUAUUUCAAAAUUUAGAUCAGACCCAUCAAGAAAUGUUUUGGCUUUUCUUUUAUCAUUUUCUUUUCAGAUCUGGGUUGACUUAUAUGCAACAAGGAGAUAUGGAAGGUCUGUUCCAACACUACAAGAUGCCUGGCAGAUACUAUAUCAUACUCUAUAUAAUUGGACAGAUGGUGCCUAUGUGAUUUUAAUAUUUGUUUUCUCUAUUGUAGGCUAAUUUAUGACUCAGUAGAUCCUCAUUAUCCACAUAUAAACUUCAUAUUCAUCUAAAGGUUUUCAGAGUCGAAUCUUCUUGCUUGAAAUGUGGUGCAUUGUGGCUUUAGAAAACUAACCAUUCUGAGUGUUCACUACAAAAGAUGAUUCCAUUUUUUGUAAAUUAUGGUUUUUGAUAAAAUUAUGUACCACUUUUGAAUCAAGCAAACUUGAGGUCAUUUUUUGUCAUUGCUCUACUUGGAAUACCAAAAAUAGGGUUUAGUUAAGUCUUCGUGAUCAAAGUUGACGGCUUUGGGAGGGAUAUAAUUGUUCACAGGAGGUUACAAUCUAGGAUUGCAAAAAAAGAGUUCAAAUACAAAUAAUUCUUCAUCCAUAAUUUUGUCAAUUGCCAAUAGAAGUCACAGUCUAUGAAUGCCAAAGAUCAUUUGUAUACAUACAACCAAGAAAGGACUCCAUAUUUCUUUUACUUUCUUUAAAAUUAGGAUCAGGAAAAGAAUCCAAUUGUCUUCUUUUGAUAAUAAGAAACUUGACAGUUGACACAAUAACACCAAAUAAGUCAAAAGACGAAGAUAUUGUGAGAGCUUGCCACCAUCGGUGGUGAUCACAUUGAAGUGAUCAAGAACCAUAAAGGUACCAGUAAGGAAAAUCUUUUAAUAUUUGAUCACUUGAAUUAAUCAUUACUCUGUCAAUUGGUAAAAUAAUAGCACAAUUAGAUAUUGCCCUAUAUUGACUUUUUAGUUCAAAAGAUCAUGAUGUUUUAAGCUGCUUUAGUUGCAGCAUCACUACUGGUAACUUCAAUGUUUUCUAUCCUUAUUGGGUUUGGUAUUCAGAGAAACACUUGGAUUUUAGUAAAAAAGGAGAUCUACACUCUUCCUCUCUAACAACAGUAGAAAGAGUGCUGCAACUUAAGUCCGAGGAAUCAAAGAGAUUUUACCACUGAUGUUGAUAAUACAUCAAUGAUGGUAUUUACAAACCUGGCUUUAGAUUAAUUACUUUCUAGAUAAAGGUUGAUGAGGAAAUUAUAACGAAAACUAUUUUCAUUUGGACAGCAAAUAUCAAAGGCAUGAAAAAAAAGAACCAGCUUUUGGAUGUUUUAUAUAAUUAUGCGAAGGUUAUUCAGUUUUUGAGCCAAUGGUAGCUUUCAUUUACGAAAUUAUUUCUUGAUUUGUACAAAACCUAGUACUCUAGAAUUUUCUUAUUGAAGAACAAAAUAAAAGAAACAUAAAAUCCUAUUUUCCUAAUCGUAGUUGUCUCAUUUGAUAAUCUUUGAAUUACUUCUACUCAAGGAUCACCGUUUUGGGUACUGGACCCAUUUUGGUAAUCUGCUCAGACUAGUACAUAUCAAUCAGUACUGGUGUACUCUGUGUAUCGGUGUUCUGGAGAAGAAGAAAAAGGAGAAGAAGAAGGGGUGGUAGAGGAAGAGGAGGUAGGAGGAAAGAAGAAGAGGAGAUGGUGAAGAGGAGGAAAAGGAAGAGGAAAAUGGGCAUUCCUAUGAGAAGCAAUUAGGCCAAAGGUGGUGUUUGGUGGUGGUGUGCAGUGAGGCCCUGGUGUGCCUGAGAAGUGGAGGUCACAUUGAGAAGCAAAGGUUGCGCUGUGCGUGAGAAACAAUUAGGUUAGUUUCGUUAUAUAUGGAUGAACUGAAUCGCCCUAAACAGGGGCGGUCUGCAUACCACAUACCAGUUGAUGUCUGAACCAGUACGUACUGCCUGUUUCGUAUCAGUCUAAGUGAAACACGUCAUUUGCUUCUACAUCUUUUCAUCUGUUUUCUUAUCUCUUUAUUAUCAUUUUACUUUUCUUCCUUAUCUUCUUUGUUACGGCCUUCAUCUUUACUAUCGGUCAUGAUGGUUAAUGUCCCAGCAGAGCAUUAGAAAUCUUUUGCCGCUUUUAUGGCUUCAAGACUAUGAAUUAAGUCCCAAAUAAAAAUAGUUUGAUAAGCAAAGGCAAAGAAAGAGGUGCUGAGAGCUAAAAGACCAAAGAGAGAGAAUUUCAUGAUCAAGGGCAUUAGAAACUUAAAGUUUGCUUGUGAUUGGAUUGCGCAACUAGACCAUAGUCCAAAUUGAAGUGGUUCAAGCUAAGCUUUCUUCCAGAUUCUAAUGGGUAAACCAUUGCUUGAAUUGGUUUAAAUUACCACAUGAAAUUACAGUUUUACCUCUUUGAGAUUAUUAUCAAUAAUUAAGUGCAUCACUUUUGGUGCUUUCAUGCAUUUACUUACCAGUUAUUAGUUCUAAUGCUUUUUGAUGUAUCUAUAUGUCUCAACCGCUCAACAACAGGACAAAAAUCGAGAUGUAAUUGUUGCAUUUCCAGAUGUUGAUCCAUCUGUCAUAUUGAUACCAGAGAUAUUUGAACUUUUGAAGAGAGAAAGCUUGUGCAUUUUAGUCGACAAUUAUCAGAAAGAGAGCCACUGAAGGAAACAGCUAAUUCUUAUGAUCAACCACAUUUAUGGUAUUCAACUGCUGAUGUCACACGCGCAUUAGUUCUUUUCCUAGAAAAUGGGUAUGACGUAUCAGAUAGCCAGACUUUCAGUUUCCUAUUAUUCCGGAUAUGAUCUCAUGGAUCUCACCCGUCGGGCAUUAGCAAAGUAUGCAAACAAAGUAUUCUUGAAGAUUAUAGAAGGGUACCAACUCAGUAAUUUAAAACAAGUGACCAUAUAGAGCCAGCACUUUCUUGACCUCGUGAAAGAUUUGGACAUGCUUUUGUCAUGCCAUGAUGGAUUUCUGCUUGGACCCUGGUUGGAAAGUGCCAAGCGUCUUUCAAGAGACCCAGAACAGGAGCAACAGGUAAGAUUCUUGUUGUCACCUGUUUGCCCUCCUCAAAUUUGAAUACUUGUAUGCCUAUUUAAGUAGGAUUCUGCCAUUGUCAUGCUUCUAUGGUGCAAUUUGAAUGGAAUGCAUGGACUCAAGUAACCAUGUGGUUUGAUAACACUGAGACUGAAGCUAGUUUGCUUCGUGAUUAUGAAAACAAGUACUGGAGUGGUCUUCUACUAGACUACUAUGGACCAAGAGCAUCUAUAUAUUUCAAGUACAUGAUAGACAGCUUGGUGAAGGGGGAGAGUUUCCCAUUAGAAGACUGGAGGAGGGACUGGAUAGGCCUUACCAACAAGUGGCAAAGCAGUAGAAAUUUGUUUCCAGUGAAAGCUUCUGGUGAUGUGUAAAUACAUCUCGAUGGCUAUAUGACAAGUAUUUUUGUACUGAUAACUUGCAAUCACUUUAUAUGGGUUCAAACUAUGAUGAAGCUGCUAAUUUUGUGAUC